GUGGAAUAUCAGGAUAAAAACACCUACAGCUGUGUGCUGAACAAUCCCAUCAGCAACCAGACCACACAUCUGGACAUCAACACACUCUGCAACCACACAUGUGCAGCGCCGGACACACACUCUUCUUCACUCUCUCCAGUGUCUCUGAUAGUGUUGAUCUCUUCCUCUGCUGCUGGAUCUCUGCUGAUUGUGUUUACAGUCGUGAUCUUCUGCAUCUGCAGGAAAUGUAGAAAAACUGAUCAAAAAGCGAAAGAGGUCACUUACGCUGAUCCGAAGUUCUACAAAAGAAAUCCCAAGAAAUCGAAUGUUAAAGAGGAGGAUGAAGUGGUGUAUGCAGAUGUCAGAAGAUAAUCAAACUUCAGUCUUCACUUCAAGAUCCAGCUGUGU